rnacentral:rRNA from 1 species
AUACGUAGGGUGCGAGCGUUGUCCGGAAUUACUGGGCGUAAAGAGCUCGUAGGUGGUUUGUCGCGUCGUCUGUGAAAUUCCGGGGCUUAACUCCGGGCGUGCAGGCGAUACGGGCAUAACUUGAGUACUGUAGGGGAGACUGGAAUUCCUGGUGUAGCGGUGAAAUGCGCAGAUAUCAGGAGGAACACCGGUGGCGAAGGCGGGUCUCUGGGCAGUAACUGACGCUGAGGAGCGAAAGCAUGGGUAGCGAACAGGAUUAGAUCCCCUGGUAGUCCAUGCCGUAAACGGUGGGCGCUAGGUGUAGGGGUCUUCCACGACUUCUGUGCCGUAGCUAACGCAUUAAGCGCCCCGCCUGGGGAGUACGGCCGCAAGGCUAAAACUCAAAGGAAUUGACGGGG